UUUUUUUCAAGCAGAAGACGGCAUACGAGAUCUGAUCGUGACUGGAGUUCAGACGUGUGCUCUUCCGAUCUGUGUAGUGGAGGUAGAGCACUGAAUGGGCUAGGGGGCAUAUCGCUUACCGAACCUUAUCAAACUCCGAAUGCCAUAUACAUUAAGUCCGGCAGUCAGACUACGAAUGAUAAGAUCCGUGGUCAAAAGGGAAACAGCCCAGACCGUCAGCUAAGGUCCCAAAGUGUAAGUUAAGUGGAAAAGGAUGUGGGAUUUCUAAGACAACUAGGAUGUUGGCUUAGAAGCAGCCACUCAUUUAAAGAGUGCGUAAUAGCUCACUAGUCGAGAGAUCCUGCGCCGAAAAUGUACCGGGGCUAAACUUACCACCGAAGCUACGGAUUUGCAAGUAAUUGCAAGUGGUAGGGGAGCGUCGUAAUCGGGCUGAAGUCGUACCGGAAGGAGCGGUGGACUGAUUACGAGUGAGAAUGUUGGCAUUAGUAGCGAGAUGUAGGUGAGAAUCCUACAGGCCGAAUAUCUAAGGUUUCCUCAGGAAGGCUCGUCCGCUGAGGGUUAGUCGGGACCUAAGCCGAGGCCGAAAGGCGUAGGCGAUGGACAAUCGGUUGAUAUUCCGAUACCACUACCAUCGUUAUUAUCGAGGGUGUGACGGAGAAGGAUAGUGUGUGCUAGCGAUUGGAAAUGCUAGUCUAAGCGUUUAGGGAGUUACGGUAGGCAAAUCCGCUGUAACAAUUCUGAGGCGUGAUGGGGAAGGUCAUUAAGACCGAAGUACAUGAUUCCAUGCUUCCAAGAAAAGCAUCUAGAGAGAGAAGUAGUGCCCGUACCGCAAACCGACACAGGUAGAUGAGGAGAGAAUCCUAAGGCCGGCGGAAGAAUUGCAGUUAAGGAACUAGGCAAAUUGACCCCGUAAGUUCGCGAGAAGGGGUGCCUGCGAGAGCAGGCCGCAGAGAAUAGGCCCAAGCAACUGUUUAGCAAAAACACAGGUCUCUGCUAAAGCGUAAGCUGAUGUAUAGGGGCUGACGCCUGCCCGGUGCUGGAAGGUUAAGGGGAACACUUAGCGCAAGCGAAGGUGUGAACUUAAGCCCCAGUAAACGGCGGCCGUAACUAUAACGGUCCUAAGGUAGCGAAAUUCCUUGUCAGGUAAGUUCUG
rnacentral:rRNA from 1 species